UACGAAGGGGGCUAGCGUUGCUCGGAAUCACUGGGCGUAAAGCGCACGUAGGCGGCUUUUUAAGUCAGGGGUGAAAUCCUGGAGCUCAACUCCAGAACUGCCCUUGAUACUGGCGAUCUCGAGUUCGGGAGAGGUGAGUGGAACUGCGAGUGUAGAGGUGAAAUUCGUAGAUAUUCGCAAGAACACCAGUGGCGAAGGCGGCUCACUGGCCCGAUACUGACGCUGAGGUGCGAAAGCGUGGGGAGCAAACAGGG
rnacentral:rRNA from 1 species